GCUGUGCAUGUCCCUGUUUGUUGCAGGGGAGUUGGACUAGAUGGGCCUUAAAUGUUCCUUCCAACUCUAAGGAUGCUGUGAUUCUAUGACUACCGAAGGUGUGUUGGAAGAAGGAACUUGUUAUUUUUAAAAAGAUCUUUGUUUUGGGAAUUCCUCACAAACUCAUUUUCUGCAGACAUUAAAUAAAGCCCUGCAGCCUGGUUUUCCUGAGCGCCUGGUAAUAGCUUUGCAUGGCACCACAGCUCAGUUUUGAGAUACUGUAGAUGUUCUUUUCCAUUAUGAUUAAAUGGAAAAUAUUUAUUGCAUGUUCUUGCAUGGUUAGGUUGACAUGACAAUUUGUAUUUUUACUUAAUAUCUUAUUUUUUAAUAAAAUUUCAGAUCUGCUACGGGCUCAUUUUCCCACAAACCUCUUCUUCCCAUUGCUGUCCUAUUCUAUUUUGUCACACUUCACUUAAAAUCAGCUCAGUCUAUGGUUUUACAUGUGUGUAGCAAACUAAUGAUUACUUGAACAAAUGACCUUAUAGAAGAAUUGAUACAGAAUGCAAGAAUUGCUUCAUCUUUAAGCCAAUACUAGUACAUUCCCAGGGACUGACUGUAACUUUUCCUGUGUGAGAAGUUCAACAGUAUUUAUUUCAAAGAGCUGAUCUCUAGUGCACAGAAGAGGAGACAUUUCAUGGAGUUGCUUGAAGCAGUCUACAAUCAUGUAGCAAGGUAGGUGGAGCCAGAUCACUGCAGAGCUGGAGGAAUAAUUGCAGAGCUUCGGUCUAUGCAUGGUCAUGGUGGUGAGUGAUAAUUGGGAAACAUGCUACUCUUUAGCUCUAUCAAAUUUGCAGCCAAACACAGAUCUUUCUGCACAUGGGGGACUGAGCUUCACGGCAUAGCCCUGGGCUGCUGAAAUCUACCCUGGGGGUCGUGUGGGGAGAUCCCAGUCCCCUGGGAGCUCUGGCCACUCUUCUGCCUCAUCCCUGGUAGAGGCGGUGCACAGGCAGAUUUCAGGCCAGGAGACCAGGCUUUGAGUUUGCUAUGCACCUGUCUCUUACGUUUGCAGCACUGCUCCUGCUUGUCACCUCUGCCCAAUUACUUUUAUGCAUUACUGCUCCUGGCAAGAUUUCCCAAUUCAUAUAGGAGAAAAGAUUUUAUGUGUUUCUUAAAAUAACUGGAGGUGAAGGUUUUAAUGGGCCUUGUAGGCUCUGAGAGGGGACAAAUGGCUGCAAGUACAUGAGAGAAUAACCUGUUUUCUUUGCAAUCUAGUCUGCUGAAAUAAAAAUUGUUGACUGCUUUCCCAUGUCACAGUUCAGGCAGAAGGCUGGAAGUCUGGAAAAAUAGUUUAAGUGAGGGUCAAGGCCAAAUUCCUAAAAUCAGAUUUUUUCCUGUUAGCUGUCCUUGAUUGUAUCUGUUUGGUCGGUAUAAAGCAGGAGGAUAGGUUAAAAGGGAGAAGUAUAUAAUAAGAAAUGGUGUAUUAGCAGCUAGAAAAUUGAGCUUGGAAGAAAUUUUUAUGAGUUCUGUGUGGAGUAAUGCAUGUGUAUUACAGCAAUUUCAAGUGCUGUGAAACUGCACAGCUUUGCUCCAGCUUUCUGCUCAUCUGUGUCAAUCUCAGCAGCCAGCUGAGCUAUCAGCUCUGUCCUUCCUUGCCACUCGCUCUCAGUAAUUGCGCUGUGCUGGUCUCUCGAUGCAAUGCACUCGGUGGGGUGCGUUGCCUUGGCCUGUGAUAAGCCAGCAGGUGCUAUCUCUCACCUACCCUCUGCUGUGAAGUUCUGGUGGCAUGAUACCAAGCAGCACAGGAGAUGGUGGCAUUUCUAAGUGACAGAAUUAACAUCUCCUCUACAACCACUACUGAGAUCCUCCAUGAAUAGAGGGAGAUGCUCAGAAGCAGUAGAUGUUAAAAAAUGCAGAGGAAUUGCAGUGUAUCUUCUCCAACUGGCCUCCUUUUGUCUUUCACCUUCCAGUAAGAAUUCAGUGUGAGGGUGAGAUAAUUAGUUGCAGCAGAGUUCAGAGUUUGAUCGAGGACUUUCUGGGGAGUUACAGAUUUUUCUCUUUCUCUCUCCCUGUCCCUGAUAAGACAGAGAGAAAAUACAGGGAGAAAAAAAGAAGACAGAACACUUCUCAAGGAUAGUAGACUGAAGAAAAACACUAGUAUGUGGAAAAUACAGAAUUAUAUGGCUACCAGAGAUCAGUAAGAGGUUAAGACCACAGGUAGCAGGGGAAUUACCCUGUUUGCCACUAUUUGUAAUCACCAUUUCUGAAACCAGCCACAGCGGGUGGUGUCCACCAGAAACUUGCCAUUCUCUUGUCUCAGCCCAGCUAUGAUUUUGUCUCUACAAUACCCUGGGACAGAGAACUUUAAAAUGGAGUCAGAUGUUAGAUGAGCACAUAUCCCCUUCCAUCCAUUUCCAUCCGGGAGUCUGGUAACAUCACUAGGUAUUCCUGCCUGUGAGCAGCCCCAGGCUGUGGAGUGUCCUUAACAGGGACCUCAGGGGCUGCUGGCAGCUGGUGUGAGAAGAUGUGGAUGGAUUGGCUCUCUCCACAGAUGUGACUCACAAAAGAUGAACGAAGGAGGACCAGACAUUACCCAAAGACCCACCGAAGAGCUGAAAUCUGAGAAACGUUUGCUUGUCAAAUGAACAAAAGUAACACCAUAGUGAAUUUAUUAAAUUUGUUUCUAACAAGAAUCUUUGUUGAGAUGAAAUUGGUGCUCGCUGCUUUGUGAUAGUAUUCGUAGCUGCUUUGUAUUUUCUGUCAGAUGUACAGAAUAUCAAUUCACAACUGACAGUCAUUAGAUCUUGAUGGAAUUGAUUUGCUUAAGGACCACAAGGGCAGGUAACUCUCAUUGUGAUGGGCAGCUGAUUGUCAUCUCAUUGGAAGAAAUGCAGUUUAGUCAUCUCAGAGGAAGGGAGAAAAUUACAGAACUGGAUUUUCUUUCAGCACAAAUAAAUAAAAGGUUCAACUGAAACUCUGUGGCUAGCGGGAACAUUGCAGGGCCUGUCAGAUUCUGUGCUGCCUCUCUCCUCCUCUCCAGCCCUCAGCAAGAACGGAAGCAUCUCACUGGAAAGAUCCCAGUGCUUGGACUUUCUUUACAGUGAUUCAGCAAUAUAUUUAUUGCUGUCUUCUAAAACACCUUUCCUACAGCAUGAUUUAAAAUACUGUGCUUUUUGCCUGACUACCAGUAUCACCAUGUUUUCCUGAAAGGCAAAGGUCUCCAAGCCAGAUUAGGCCAACCAACCACUGCUUUAUCUGCAUGUUUUGGCAGAAGACCAUGUGCUGAACAGCCCACUGAGGGAGACAGCUUCUUCCAGCGGCUGGGUGCUGUGCCCUGAGGGGAAGGUUCUUAAAGCUUGAAUUCUGUCCUUGGAGUGUAAAAGCCUUACAAUGAAUGUAGAAUAUGAUAUUUGUCUUCAAAGCAUCAAACAAUAUCCUGUUUUUCUGAGCUGGACAUCUCAUCAAAUGGU